rnacentral:rRNA from 1 species
AGGAUUCCCCUAGUAACUGCGAGUGAAGCGGGAAAAGCUCAAAUUUAAAAUCUGGCAGUCUUUGGCUGUCCGAGUUGUAAUCUAGAGAAGUAUUAUCCGCGCUGGACCGUGUACAAGUCUCCUGGAAUGGGGCGUCAUAGAGGGUGAGAAUCCCGUCUUUGACACGGACUGCCAGGGCUUUGUGAUGUGCUCUCAAAGAGUCGAGUUGUUUGGGAAUGCAGCUCAAAAUGGGUGGUAAAUUCCAUCUAAAGCUAAAUAUUGGCGAGAGACCGAUAGCGAACAAGUACCGUGAGGGAAAGAUGAAAAGAACUUUGGAAAGAGAGUUAAACAGUACGUGAAAUUGCUGAAAGGGAAACGCUUGAAGUCAGUCACGUUGGCCAGGGAUCAACCUUGCUUUUUUGCUUGGCUUACUUUCUGGUUGAUGGGUCAGCAUCAAUUUUGACUGGUGGAAAAAGUUCAAGGGAAUGUGGCAUCUUCGGAUGUGUUAUAGCCUUUGUUCGCAUACACUGGUUGGGAUUGAGGAACUCAGCAUGCCGCAAGGCCGGGUUUUUAACCACGUACGUGCUUAGGAUGCUGGCAUAAUGGCUUUAAUCGACCCGUCUUGAAACACGGACCAAGGAGUCUAACAUGCCUGCGAGUGUUUGGGUGAAAAACCCGAGCGCGUAAUGAAAGUGAAAGUUGAGAUCCCUGUCGUGGGGAGCAUUGACGCCCGGAUCUGACCUUUUGUGACGAUUCUGCGGUAGAGCAUGUAUGUUGGGACCCGAAAGAUGGUGAACUAUGCCUGAAUAGGGUGAAGCCAGAGGAAACUCUGGUGGAGGCUCGUAGCGAUUCUGACGUGCAAAUCGAUCGUCAAAUUUGGGUAUAGGGGCGAAAGACUAAUCGAAC